AGUGGAGUGAUGAGUGCUGGAUAAAUUGCUAGCGGCGGACGGGUGCGUAACACGUGGGUAACCUGCCCCUAUCACUGGGAUAACACACUGAAAAGUGUGCUAAUACCAGAUAACAUAAGCUUUUGGCAUCAUUAGCUUAUCAAAGAAUUUCGGAUAGGGAUGGGCCCGCGUCUGAUUAGCUAGUUGGUGAGGUAACGGCUCACCAAGGCAACGAUCAGUAGCCGACCUGAGAGGGUGAUCGGCCACACUGGGACUGAGACACGGUCCAGACUCCUACGGGAGGCAGCAGUGGGGAAUAUUGCACAAUGGGCGAAAGCCUGAUGCAGCAACGCCGCGUGAGCGAUGAAGGCCUUCGGGUCGUAAAGCUCUGUCCUAUGGGAAGAUAAUGACGGUACCAUAGGAGGAAGCCCCGGCUAACUACGUGCCAGCAGCCGCGGUAAUACGUAGGGGGCAAGCGUUAUCCGGAAUUACUGGGCGUAAAGGGUGCGUAGGCGGUUUAUCAAGUCAGGGGUGAAAGGCUACGGCUCAACCGUAGUGAGCCUCUGAAACUGGUGAACUUGAGUGUAGGAGAGGAAAGUGGAAUUCCCAGUGUAGCGGUGAAAUGCGUAGAUAUUGGGAGGAACACCAG
rnacentral:rRNA from 1 species